GAGUUUGAUCAUGGCUCAGGACGAACGCUGGCGGCGUGCCUAACACAUGCAAGUCGAGCGAGGAAGCCCCUUCGGGGGUGGAAUAGCGGCGGACGGGUGAGUAACACGUGGGUAACCUGCCUCAAAGCGGGGGAUAGCCUCCCGAAAGGGAGAUUAAUACCGCAUAGAAGGUAAAUACCGCAUGGUAAAUACCUUAAAGGAGAAAUCCGCUUUGAGAUGGGCCCGCGUCGCAUUAGCUAGUUGGAGGGAUAAAAGCCCCCCAAGGCGACGAUGCGUAGCCGACCUGAGAGGGUGAACGGCCACAUUGGAACUGAGAUACGGUCCAGACUCCUACGGGAGGCAGCAGUGGGGAAUAUUGCACAAUGGGGGGAAACCCUGAUGCAGCAACGCCGCGUGAGUGAAGAAGGUUUUCGGAUCGUAAAGCUCUGUCAUCCGGGACGAUAAUGACGGUACCGGAAGAGGAACGCCACGGCUAACUACGUGCCAGCCG
rnacentral:rRNA from 1 species